UACGUAGGGGGCAAGCGUUAUCCGGAUUUACUGGGUGUAAAGGGAGCGUAGGCCGGCUUUUAAGUCAGCUGUGAAAGUCCGCGGCUCAACCGUGGAAUUGCAGUUGAAACUGGAGGCCUUGAGUGCACACAGGGGUGCCGGAAUUCAUGGUGUAGCGGUGAAAUGCUUAGAUAUCAUGAAGAACUCCGAUUGCGAAGGCAGCUCACUGGACUGCAACUGACGCUGAGGCACGAAAGCGUGGGUAUCGAACAGG
rnacentral:rRNA from 1 species